CCUACGGGAGGCAGCAGUGAGGAAUAUUGGUCAAUGGACGAAAGUCUGAACCAGCCAAGCCGCGUGCAGGAAGACGGCUCUAUGAGUUGUAAACUGCUUUUGUACGAGAGUAAACCUUAAUACGUGUAUUCAGCUGAAUGUACUGUACGAAUAAGGAUCGGCUAACUCCGUGCCAGCAGCCGCGGUAAUACGGAGGAUCCGAGCGUUAUCCGGAUUUAUUGGGUUUAAAGGGUGCGUAGGCGGAUUGAUAAGUUAGUGGUGAAAGGUCCGAGCUUAACUCGGGAACUGCAGCUAAUACUGUUGAUCUAGAGAGUAGAUGCGGUAGGCGGAAUGCAUGGUGUAGCGGUGAAAUGCUUAGAGAUCAUACAGAACACCGAUUGCGAAGGCAGCUUACUAAUCUAGAUCUGACGUUGAGGCACGAAAGUGUGGGGAGCAAACAGGAUUAGAUACCCGGGUAGUC
rnacentral:rRNA from 1 species